GUGCUUGCCAUCGUCACUCUCACCACAUCAAGCGUCUCUCCAUCAGUACCAAACACACCACUGAACCAAUCAAACACUAUUAUUUCUCAUUUGCCUUCUCGAAAGCCGCCAUCUUCCUCCCACUUCUCCUCUCUCCCGCAGGUUCCCGCGACAUCCGACAUAUCCAGCCGAACCUCACACCACUUCCUCCUUUCUACCCCACUCCCGCAAACACAAAGCACUGUAUUCUUCCUUCUGCCGCCCGAUCUCGACACCUCCGGUGGACAACGAGACGAACAGGGGACAAAAAAAAACGGGGAAAACGAAAAGGGCGACGCGUAGUCCCACAGCGGCCUUCCGCGUUGCUGUGACCUCGACGCCCUCUUCGUUUGCCCUCUUCUCCCUCUAUUUCGCAUUUUUUUUCGCUUAUCCUUGCCGCUGUCGCUGUACCUCUUCAACGUGUUCGUCCCGCUGCCUCACACUCUGGCUGAUACCGACACACCCACAUAGAGGAGUACGGCGACCGCGUUGUGAGGGCAAACGCACGCGCACCGAGUGAGACGCAAGCAGACAAAGAUUUACUCGACAGCCUGUUUGUGCCUCCCCUCCAUAUCCACUCACUACUCUGCCUGCGCCGUUGCUUUCCUCUCCCCCUCACGCACACCGGCAUCGCACAAACCUUCGGCUAUUCAUACUCGGCCCCCCUUUUUGCCCGUUCCGUCUGCCGUGCCCCUGGGAUACAUCGAGGAAGGCGCAAGGGACUCGGCGGAUCGCGAGGGAAGGACAGAGGAGUCCCCCUCCCUCCUGGUGUCUGCUCCCUUUCAGCCAACAGCACCACCCUUCUUUCUUCUCCGUUGCUGUUUUUCGCUCCACCACAGAUCCCAGCCGCCACCACCGAACAAGGGAAAGGAGGCAGACAUAUUUUCACCGCAUCCAACAUGAGCGGCGCAGGCAACCUCCGCAGCAACCGCCGUCGGGAGAUGGACUACAUGCGGUUGUGCAACUCAACGCGCAAGGUGUACCCGUCCGACACAGUGGCCGAGUUCUGGGUAGAGUUUAAAGGUCCGGAGGGCACGCCGUAUGAGGAUGGCACCUGGAUGCUGCACGUCCAGCUACCAUCCGAUUACCCGUUCAAGUCACCGUCCAUCGGCUUCUGUAACCGCAUCCUGCACCCGAACGUCGACGAGCGUAGCGGCAGCGUCUGCCUCGACGUCAUCAACCAGACAUGGACCCCCAUGUACCAACUGGAGAACAUAUUCGACGUCUUCCUUCCGCAGCUGCUGCGCUACCCCAACCCAUCAGAUCCCCUAAAUGCGCAGGCCGCGCACCUCCUCCACGCCGACCGCGUCGGCUUCGAUGCGCUUCUCCGCGAGCAUGUGAGCACCCACGCCACACCAGAGAAGGCGCUUGAGUCGAUCCCGGAAGCGUACAGGCCACAUGACAACACGAAUGAGGAAGAACCAGACGAGGCCAACGCCAAGGACACGGCCUCUGACGGCCCUGUGAAUGCAGGGCACUCCAAGGGAUUGACGGACUCCUCAGUGACACCGACAGAGGACCACCGAGUCAUGCACGACGACAUGGCCAUCGACGGCGACGAGGACGUAGAGGCCGAGUACGAGCCGGAGGAGAUCGAUCUUUGAUACUUUGCUGCGACCGCCUCUUAUACCCGCCGCUUACUCGCGCGUUUGAGGCAUUCCUCGAGAAGUUAUGUGCGCCCAUCGCCGGCCCCCUUUCCGAGCGCCCUCUCUCGCCGCCGAAUGUUGGGAGACUCGCCCGACGAGGCGGCUCUUGAUGCCCCAAUAUGAGUCCUCCAUUGCGAGAUGAGAGGUGUGCAUCUGGCGCUGCUGCCCCUGGAACCCUCCGACAGCGAACAAAAGAGUAGAUGCCGAAACGACAACAAAAAGUAAAGCUGCACCGUCGAUCCUUGCUGUGUGCGUGCGUGCCUGUGUUGGAGCGUGCUGAAUUCGCAGACUCCCGUGUCCUCGUGCGCAUCCGUCUCCCACCCCCUCGCACUGCUUCACACCCACCCUCACAAAACUCACACAUGCAUAGGCAUUGGCACAACCCCUCUUCGCUUCAUUAUGUUUUAUGUUUUUUUUUCCCUUUGUCUAGCUCUGUUUUACCUCUGCUUCCACUCUUUCUUCUUUUUCCCGGUUAUCAUCUCCGUUCUUGUUCUCACCUUCUCUUUCCUUCGCUGGCCGGUUUCGCUGUUUUUCCUUGUUCUUCCCUUUUGUUUUCGAUGUCGUCGUUGUUUCUUUGCUGCUGCUGAUUUCAGAUUUCUGCUUACUUGCGUUCGUGUCUACAUGUAUGCUGGUUUAAAUGAGGGUGGGGGAGGUACUGCUGCUACGGCUCACCCGUUCGAUGGUUGUCUGUGUGUCUCUGGUGUCGCCCACCGCACGUCGCUACGGAUGCUAUAGCGUUUUUUCUCGAUGUCGUCUUUGGACGUUUCGUUUUUUCUCCGUAGGUGCGCGUGCAUCUCUCUCUCCAUCUCCCCCCCCUCGCAGACGAGCCUGCAGUGUCUGACGUUCUCCACUUGAAUGGCGAACAGAGAGGAGAGAAAGAGAAAGCGAGGCCUCAGUACACGGAACGGCGAACGUGCAUACAGCGACUCGCACGAAUGCGUCCGCCACCAUGGAAAAUAUAUGCGCGGGUGGCGAAGCGAGGCGAUUAAUGCACCUUCAUGCGUUCUGAUGUUGGGGCGAUUCCGAGCUCCCUGGCACACGACCGCACAUACACACCAUGGCUUCUGUUGUCGCUCUUGUGGUUGUUUCAUUCAUUGCACUUCUUUGCUACCUUCCUCCCUCUCCCUCACUGGCGAAG
rnacentral:misc_RNA from 1 species